GACGAACCGUGCGAACGUUAUUCGGAAUCAUUGGGCUUAAAGCGCGUGUAGGCGGAUUCGUGCGUCUGUCGCUGAAAUCCCCCGGCUCAACCGGGGAACGGGCGCGGAUACGACGAGUCUGGAGGGGCAUAGGGGGACCUGGAACUUCCGGUGGAGCGGUGAAAUGCGUUGAGAUCGGAAGGAACGCCCGUGGCGAAAGCGAGGUCCGUCGGAUGCCUACUGACGCUGAGACGCGAA
rnacentral:rRNA from 1 species